AAAUAAACCGCGAAGUCUUGACAAAAUAAAAGUUUAUUAUUGUGUAAUGGUUUUAUACGGAUAGAAAAGUGCCGAUCAUUGUUCAAAGUAAACCGAAAUCUUCAACAAGCAUAUCGUCCAAACUAAUUGUAUGCAUUGGGGAUUAUUACUUCCGAUUGAGUGACACUCUUGAACUUCUUGAGAUUACAUACCGCCGUUGUCAUCGGUCAAAUUUACUUGAAUUUCAAAUAUUUCAGAAGAGAAUUCCAUUUCUUUAUAGUGGCAUCCAUUAUCAUUGGCAGUCAACGUUCUAAGCAUUCUUACAUUGUAGUAGUUUUUGAUAUUAU